rnacentral:pre_miRNA from 1 species
UGUAAGAUUCAUAUCCAAUAUUUGAUUGUUCGUUUUAUUUGAAAAAUUUUAUGAUUAGCAUUUUUAUUGUUAUUAGAUGAUAAAACAUAAAUAGAAUUUUAUGUGUGACUAAUUUUUUUCGUAAAUUUUUUAAAUAAAACGGACGAUCAAAAUAUGGAAAGCACAAUUACACUUAAA